rnacentral:rRNA from 1 species
GACAGAGGUGCCAAGCGUUAGGCGGAAUCACUGGGCUUAAAGCGUGUGUAGGUGGAUGCCUAAGUACCUUGUGAAAUCCCACGGCUUAACCGUGGAACUGCUCGGUAUACUGGGUGUCUUGAGCCACUUAGGGGCUACCGGAACAAAUGGUGGAGCGGUGAAAUGCGUAGAUAUCGGGAGGAACACCUAUGGCGAAGGCAGCUCGCUGGGACGUUACUGACGCUGAGACGCGAAAGCGUGGGGAGCAAACAGG